rnacentral:rRNA from 1 species
AUUGAACGCUGGCGGCAUGCUUUACACAUGCAAGUCGAACGGUAACAGGUUAAGCUGACGAGUGGCGAACGGGUGAGUAAUGCAUCGGAACGUGCCCGGUCGUGGGGGAUAACGCAGCGAAAGCUGCGCUAAUACCGCAUACGAUCUGAGGAUGAAAGCGGGGGACCGUAAGGCCUCGCGCGAUCGGAGCGGCCGAUGUCAGAUUAGGUAGUUGGUGGGGUAAAGGCUCACCAAGCCAACGAUCUGUAGCUGGUCUGAGAGGACGACCAGCCACACUGGGACUGAGACACGGCCCAGGAUCCUACGGGAGGCAGCAGUGGGGAAUUUUGGACAAUGGGCGAAAGCCUGAUCCAGCAAUGCCGCGUGCAGGAAGAAGGCCUUCGGGUUGUAAACUGCUUUUGUACGGAGCGAAAAGGUCUCCUCUAAUACAGGGGGCUCAUGACGGUACCGUAAGAAUAAGCACCGGCUAACUACGUGCCAGCAGCCGCCGUAA